rnacentral:rRNA from 1 species
UCCGUAGGGUGAACCUGCGGAGGGAUCAUUGCUGGAACGCGCUUCGGCGCACCCAGAAACCCUUUGUGAACUUAUACCUAUCUGUUGCCUCGGCGUAGGCCGGCCUCUUCACUGAGGCCCCCUGGAAACAGGGAGCAGCCCGCCGGCGGCCAACUAAACUCUUGUUUCUAUAGUGAAUCUCUGAGUAAAAACAUAAAUGAAUCAAAACUUUCAACAACGGAUCUCUUGGUUCUGGCAUCGAUGAAGAACGCAGCGAAAUGCGAUAAGUAAUGUGAAUUGCAGAAUUCAGUGAAUCAUCGAAUCUUUGAACGCACAUUGCGCCCUCUGGUAUUCCGGAGGGCAUGCCUGUUCGAGCGUCAUUUCAACCCUCAAGCCUGGCUUGGUGAUGGGGCACUGCCUUCUAGCGAGGGCAGGCCCUGAAAUCUAGUGGCGAGCUCGCUAGGACCCCGAGCGUAGUAGUUAUAUCUCGUUCUGGAAGGCCCUGGCGGUGCCCUGCCGUUAAACCCCCAACUUCUGAAAAUUUGACCUCGGAUCAGGUAGGAAUACCCGCUGAACUUAAGCAUAUCAAUAAGCGGAGGAA